rnacentral:rRNA from 1 species
GGAGUUAUUAAAUUCUUAUAGAUUAAGCUACACGAAAAUAGUUGAGCUAAAUAAUUAUAAUUAUUAGAUUUAUUAUAUGUAGCACAAUGUAAAUAAAUAAAUAUUUAGGGGUGAUAGGCCUAUCAAAACUAUAGAUAUCUUGAUUCUUUUAAAAACAUUUAGUGUAAUGUCAACUAAGAAAUGAUAAGGUUUUUUAGUAACAUAAACAUAUUUAAAGAUUUAAAUCUUGAUCUAAUCAUUAGAUUUUAUUUGAAUUAAUUAUUAAUUUAUAGUGUAUUAUGGUUAAUAUAAAGAAAUAUUAAACUGGUAAAAUAAUUUAAAAUGUAACUAUAAGUAACUUUAAUAAGUAUGAAAAAUGAACUCGGCAAAUUAGCCUUUCAGCUGUUUACCAAAAACAUAGCUAUGUGUAAUUAUCCAUAGUAAUUUCUGCUCAAUGAAAAUUUAAAUAGCCGCAGUACCCUGACUGUGCAAAGGUAGCGAAAUAAUUUGACUUAUAAUUGAAGUCCUGUAUAAAUGAAAUUUUGGGGGGCGUCUUUAUUCUUUGUAGAUCUUGAAAUUACUAAUUAAGUGCAAAUUCUUAUAUUCUAAAUGAUAGACGAGAAGACCCUAGAAAUUUUUAUAAAUUGUAUUUAAUCUUUUUGUUGGGGCAACAAGGUAACAUAAAAUUUACCCUUAAUAACAAGAACAUUUAUGUGAUAGAAUAAAUUACUCUAGGGAUAACAGCGUAAUUUAUAAAAGUUUGCGACCUCGAUGUUGGACUAGGGAACUACUGCUUAGAAGGCAAAAUGUAUAGCUCUGUUCGAGCUU